GACGAACGCUGGCGGCGUGCUUAACACAUGCAAGUCGAACGGAAAGGCCCUGCUUUUGUGGGGUGCUCGAGUGGCGAACGGGUGAGUAACACGUGAGUAACCUGCCCUUGACUUUGGGAUAACUUCAGGAAACUGGGGCUAAUACCGGAUAGGAGCUCCUGCUGCAUGGUGGGGGUUGGAAAGUUUCGGCGGUUGGGGAUGGACUCGCGGCUUAUCAGCUUGUUGGUGGGGUAGUGGCUUACCAAGGCUUUGACGGGUAGCCGGCCUGAGAGGGUGACCGGCCACAUGGGGACUGAGAUACGGCCCAGACUCCUACGGGAGGAAGAAGGGGGGAAUAUGGCACAAGGGGCGGAAGCCUGAGGCAGCAACGCCGCGUGCGGGAUGACGGCCUUCGGGUUGUAAACCGCUUUCGCCUGUGACGAAGCGUGAGUGACGGUAUGGGUAAAGAAGCACCGGCUAACUACGUG
rnacentral:rRNA from 1 species